AAACUAACAUUUAAAUGCUGAAUUAAACAGAAACCACGCACCAUCAAAGCACUUGGAUAGACAAAACCAUUCAUCAUCACAGAAAAAUAACAAAAUUAAGAUAAAUCAAAAUCUAACUUCAGCUGAUCAGACUGAAUGAAUGAAUGAAUAACGAAUGAUGAAAGAGUGAAUGAAUGAAUAACGAAUGAUGAAAGAGUGAAUGAAUAAAUGAAUGAAUGAAUCAAGGAAGGGAGAACAACAGAAUACCAGCAAGUACAAGUAAGAAACACAACCCCAAUGUGUCAAAGCUACAGUGUCAAAACCAGCAUGCAAGGACUCGUUAAAGGGACAGAUUAUCAAUUAAGAGAGCCGAAUUGCAGCCUAAAUGAAAGAAGGGAAAGGAAGAAAGAAAAGAAGGGAGGGAAAAAGAAAGGAAACAAGAAACAGCACAUCGUCACGGAAGAGCUACACUAUUACCGGGAGACGUCAUGAAUAAACCGAAUUAAAGAAUAUCAAAAGAACAUCAAAACGUCAACGAAUAUCAAGGAUGCACAGGAAAAUCAAGAACCAAAUCAAGAAGCGAUAAUGAAUAUCAAUAACAGUGAUAACGUGACAUAAUAAACUAGAAUAUAUAAAUAUAAAUAUACUAAAAUAAAAUAUAGAAUAAAGAAUAACCGUACGGAAACAAAUCAUAAAUAUUAAUACAACCUACAGAACUUUGUACCAUCAUAAGUUAAAAUAAACGAAAUCAUAACAAUUGCUUUAAUUCAAUUCAAUUCAGAAUGGAUGAACAGUGAGAGAAUGAAAGAAUGAAUGAAUGAAAGAAUGAACAACUGAAUGAAGUAAUCAAUUAAAGAUACCAAAGAAUGAGUUAAAUAAGGUAAAUAGUCAUAAGUCAUAAGUAUAAAGUGAAGGUAAUAACCAACAUAAUGUAUAACAAAAUGAAUUAUACUAAAAUAGAAUACAAAAUACAGAAUACAAGAAGUGAAUUCAAUAAAAUAUAAUACAACCGUACAGAUUAUUAGCCACAACUCUAUCUCCUUACCAGAAUAGCCCAUAAGUUAAAUUAUAAAUUAUAAAUGGUAAUGAUGCACGAUGAAUGAUCAUGUCAAUGCAAAUGCAAAUAGGACUUACUAUUGAAUGAUGUAUCAAAAAAAUAAAAUAACUGAAGCGACCAUAAUCAAAUCAAAUAUAAAGUACGUAGUUCAAUAAACACUACACCAGCAUAUAGACUAAAUAAAUAAUUAAAUAAAUAAGCAAAUAAAUAAGGAAGGAUACUUAAAUAACAAAGUUAUAAUAAAACCAUGCACAAUCAAGCAUUUGAAUUGACAGAACCACCCAUCAUCGUAGAGAAAGCAAAACUAAGAUAGAAUAAAAUAAAAUAAAUAAAAUAAAUCAUAUUCACUAGCUAUCUUUAAUUGAUCAAAAUGUUUGAAUGAAUGAAUGAAUGAAUGAGUGGAACGAUUAAAGAAAUUGAAAAUUAAAGAAAUAAGGAAGGCGUGAAUGAAAGCAAGCAGGAAAGCAUGAAUGUACAAUAUUAUUGUAAGUAAGGAAAGGAAAGUAAAUGAAUACCCGCCACCCAACAAAUAAAUUACACAAAACAGCUACACCAAGACCACAAAAGCAAUAAAAGCAAUUAAAGCAAUCAAUCACUAAUCGCACAACACCAUUAAAAACAAUCAUACUGAAAUUGUAAUAAAACUAAACAAAACUAAAACUAAAAGAAAACAGUUAAUAACACAACCCGGAUUGUCCAAUUCAUUUAUCUAAGCACAUUACACUGCUGCAUCGUCACAAAUAUAGAAUGAAAUGAAAAUAGAGAAAAUGAAAAUGAAAUAUGACAAAAAUGAAAUGAUAAUGAAAAUGAACUUGAACUAAUCAACAAAACAGCAAUGCAAACCGCAUAAACCAUAAGCACAUCAUAUACUGAUAAUAACCAUUAAUAAUUAACUAACUAAUGAGAUUCACAGAACACAGUGAAAAAACAACAACGGUAAAUGCAAUAAAACAAAUGGAACGAUAGAUGAAUUGAACAAUGAAAUCACGUAACAAGGCGUAGAUUGCACAGAUUUAUUAAGCACAUUGUACCACUAUACCGUUCGCAAAUAAAUAAUAAAUAAAAUAUAUAUGGAUAUAGAUA